rnacentral:lncRNA from 1 species
GGCACCAUGGAGAGCUUUUUAUCUACCUACUACAGAGAAAAGAAAACAGCUUCUGGAGUUACCAUGGAUAUGGCCCAAUCUCUGUUUUGGAUAGCAGAUUAGGUUGAUAACAGAUAUACUGAGCACAACUAUCAAUGAUUUCUGGAGUUUUCUGCUGGCUACCCUUCAAACUCUGAUUUCAAGGGGAAAAAUAAUUUCACCUUUUCAAUUGUGUUUAUUCAACCAGGCUAGGCAAAGGGAUUAGGAGGCAACUUGAUAUUUACAUUCUAACUGCUCAUUGUGUUAACAGUCCCCCCAUUGUGUUCUGGAGCU